UGAGAAAUAGAAUAAAGUUGAUG
rnacentral:piRNA from 1 species